rnacentral:rRNA from 1 species
GGAGGAAAGUAGGGGAUCGAAAGACCUUGCGCUUUUGGAGCGGCCGAUGUCUGAUUAGCUAGUUGGUGAGGUAAAUGCUUACCAAGGCAACGAUCAGUAGUUGGUCUGAGAGGAUGACCAACCACACUGGGACUGAGACACGGCCCAGACUCCUACGGGAGGCAGCAGUGGGGAAUUUUGGACAAUGGGGGAAACCCUGAUCCAGCAAUGCCGCGUGAGUGAAGAAGGCCUUCGGGUUGUAAAGCUCUUUCAGUUGAGAAGAAAAGAUUGUGACUAAUAAUCAUAAUUAAUGACGGUAUCAACAGAAGAAGCACCGGCUAACUACGUGCCAGCAGCCGCGGUAAUACGUAGGGUGCGAGCGUUAAUCGGAAUUACUGGGCGUAAAGGGUGCGCAGGCGGUUAUGUAAGUCAGAUGUGAAAUCCCCGGGCUUAACCUGGGAAUUGCGUUUGAAACUACAAAGCUAGAAGGGCGAAUUUGGUUUAAC